UUUAGAAUGGCCAUAAGAAAUUUUGGGAACUGAAAUAAGAAUGAUGUCACAAUGAGUUAGAGUUAGAAUGCUGUGGAAAAGUUUCUGAGAAGGGAGAGAAAUGGAGGGAAGUGAGACAUGACUAAGAUGUAGGUAAAAAGGAAUAAAGGUUUUCCCUGCUCAAAACUCUCAUGAAGAAAUUAAUGGAGAAGGAAAGCACAAAGCAUGCUUGAAAGAAAGCAAUGAAAGGAGGAGGAUGACUGGAGUUUCACAGCUGCUUUAAUACAACUGGUUUCACUUAGAGAAGAUGACAUGUUGAAAUGUGAUGAGUAAAGAUGUGCAGAAUGCUUCCCCAGUAAUUGGAAUUCAAGCAACAAUAACACUGGGCAUUGUUGGAUCCUUUACAACUUUAAGAAAAAGGUCUCCUUCCUUCAUUUUGGAAAAAAGCGCACAUAUUAUAGAACAUCAUGACUUUAUUCAACAUUAAAAAGAGAAAUUAAAAAUUAUUUCACCUGAGUGCAUCUGCAUUUGAAUCAAGCAUAUGCUUAAGUUUAUGCAACUUCUAACGCACAAUUUCUUCUUCCAACUUUCUAUUGCUAUAAAAUGGCAGGAUUUUAGAGCUGAA
rnacentral:lncRNA from 1 species